rnacentral:lncRNA from 1 species
CUCUGAGCUUGCCUCUUCAGACACAAGCAAAUUAUCCUUACCCAUACAAGUCACCACCACCACCACCUCUCCACCACCACAAACCACCAACACUACCACCUCCUCCUGUUUACCACUACAAAUCACCACCUCCCCCUCCCCAUGUCUACAAGUAUAAAUCUCCACCACCACCUCCUUACCACCCCAUAUCACCAGCUCCUCCUCAUCAUCAUGCCUACAAGUAUAAAUCUCCACCACCACCUCCUUACCACCCUGCUCCUAUCUACAAGUACAAGUCACCACCUCCCCUCAUCAUGCUUACAAAUAUAAAUCUCCACCACCCCCUCUUCACCACCCUGCUCCUGUCUACAAGUACAAGUCACCACCUCCUCCUCACCAUGUCUACAAGUACAAAUCUCCACCACCCCCUCGCCAUUACAAGGCACCUUGUCCUCCUUCCCCUGUCUACAAAUAUAAAUCACCACCACCCCCUCCCUACCAUCACAUAUCACCAACCCUACCUCCCUACCACGACAAGUCACCACCACCACCCCCUCCUGUUUACAAGUAUAAAUCACCACCGCCACCUCCCUAUCACUACAAGUCACCACCACCUCCCCCUCCAGUCUACAAGUAUAAGUCUCCUCCACCACCUCCACAUGUUUAUCACUACACUUCACCUCCUCCUCCUCCCUAUCACUAUUAAGCGGCAGAACACCGUCGAAACCAAAAGGGUUAGUUGCUUGUAUUUUCUGAGCUCAGAAUAUGGUUAAAAAUGAAGUUACUUGGAGUAAUAACAAACGGAUGUUUCUUGUUCUUUCUUUCUUUGUUUUCUUUCUCUUUUUUUUUUAAGAGAGCUAAUUAAUUAAGCCGAAGCCAAAUGGAAAACACAUGGGCAAUUUUAAAACAGCACCAUUGGAACAUAACCCCCCUCUCGUUUUUUAUUAUUUUGCAGGGAUGAAGACUUAUCUUUCCUGAUGGUUGCCAUAUAUGAACCAGCAUCAAGUGCAGGUUUUACUAGGGUUGUGGAGAGUAGAAUAAAGCAAUCGAGGUUCCUUCUACAAAAGAAGUGGCCCCUGAUGCUUCUAUGGAGUGAAUAAAGUUGCUUUAUAUCGUGUAAUGCAGAAGCAUCUGCUUAGUAGCUGGAAAAGAGUGGAAAGAGGAGAUAAGCAUAUGUACUUGCUCUUUCCUGCUUUUGAAUUGUAUUUUUGUUAGUAUUUUGGCAAAUCUCUAGGGAUUUCCUUCAAUCCCUCCUACUAUGUUCAGUUAUAACCCAGAAGUUAUUACAAUCAUAACUGUACUUGCAAGUAGCCAGUAGAAGCAUGUAUGUCCAGUUGUUGAAUGCACGCAUUAUACAAAGUUUCGGGUAUCUGAAGUAAUUAAAAAGUGGCCAUGAAGAGUGAAAAGCUCUUACAUUUAAGGACUAAUUAAUUUGCAUGGAGCGGUUUGUCAUCAUAGUAGAGACAUGAUGAAGAUAAGUUUGAACAGCUAGUGAUGGAGCAAAAGAGGAUGAAAAUGGGGAAAAUCCUAGAACUGUAAAUGAGGAAGUGACUUUAAGUCGAUAAGUAGUUCGACAUCAUGAUCAUACCUAUGAUCAAAUGCAGCUAGCUACAGAUGAGAUUUAUGCAUACUAAAUUUGUUGUUAUUCAUGACCCACCCUUACAUCAACUAUAGCAAUUACAAUAUUGAUUGCAGUUAGGCCAUUUGAAUUUCUACAAAGAACACCUCGAACUACCAAAUUAAUAAGCACUCAGUGAUACCACAAUGAGGCAGCUAAUAAUCUACAAAUCUUGUGGGCCGCAAACAUAAUCCCUAGCUUAUGUUUUCCAUGAUAGAAAUGAUUAAGCCAGUCAGAAAAAACUGACUUCAAAGAGUCACCCUAUGCGAGCAUUACUCCUCUCAUAAUCUCCCUUAAAGAAAGAGCACGCCGCCCAUAUAAGAAUUGCAUGGUAGAACUCUGCAAGUAAUCAUGCCAACCCUCGUUCCUGGGAUCGAUUGAAGGAGGGAGAGAAGCCAUGAUCUCAUGAAACAGCAUUUAUCUUUUUGCUAAUAUUAUCAGGUCUAUGAAUUAAGCUUGAGAGGCAACGCCAGUCCAGAUCAAGACUGAAUCAUAAUGCAUGGUCCCAAAAUGUGGUUAGAAGUGUAAAAUAUGAACUAAAUUAAAGCAGAGAUCAAAAGGACAAUUAAGGCCAUUAUCAGGAAAAGCAGACAGCCGAUACAGAUUUUUGUACAACCUUUGGACUGGAUUGCUUGGAUGGCAAACUGCCGACAAAGACUGAAAGAUCCCUAAAUUAUUGUGAGGUUUCUGACGUAUUCUCUUAGCUGUCUUCUUCCUCCUCCUCCUCCUUUUUAUUUUUUAAUUUGUGUGCCUUGUAUCAUUCACAAUCUUCUGAAAACUUUUCGUUGUAGAUUACGACAUUACUGUUGUUCAACUUCUCUUUCCCUAUCCACUGGUUCUUGCACCAAGCUGGAAAGGAGAGAGGUCAGUGUAGGGUCAUGGAACCAGAAUUUGGUGGCUCAGAUACGUGCCCACCUUCACCCUCAAAGCUGAAACUGAAAGUGCACAGAAGUAGAGAAGGCAAUGAAGAGCUUGAUUAGUCAAAAGAUCGCCAAGAUGAAGACCUUACAGGAAAGAAAAAUCUUAAGCUGGACUUCACUCUUGGAGGGUAGCUUUGGCAGCAACUUCCACGCAAGCUGCAAUAAUUGGAGGCCUUUUCUUUCAAACAUGAUCAUAUCCUAGCAAUAAAGGAGAACCAUGUUGGAUCUAGGAAAAGUGUGCAUGGAGUCUAAUGGACAGCAAUAAUUUUAACUAAUUAGAAUCACGUAAUGGUCGUGUUUUAAAGAAAGAUUGGGCUACUUUCAUUUGUUAGCUUUUAUAUAAGCGUGCCUCUGUCUCCUCUCCAAAACCAUAUAAUUAACUCUUUGCAUGAAAUGUUACCUAUUUUUUUUUAAAAAAUAUAUUCUUUAAUUAGUUUUUUCUAUCUAAUUCUAAGGAUGAUCUAGCUUUUCUGCAAUUUUUUUCUUUACAACUUUGCCACCAAUCGAUCCCGCCAUACUUAUGUGAUUUGACUUCGCUUUUUGUGACUUUUUAUAUAUAUAUAUAUAUGUCUUUACAGCUUUGUUACUCUUGAGCUACGUACUAUUGAUCCUAUAAUAAUUGCAUGCUUUAGCUUUUGUGAUGAUUCUUUUGUCUUUACAACCUGGCCGCUCUUCUCCCACUAGUUUAUUCUGUCGUAUUUCUGUGCUUUGCAUUUGCUUUUUCCGCGAUGUAUAUAUUCUUGUCUAUGGAUUAUGUAACUCAUAAGUGGCGCUUGGACUGUCAGUACUACAUGGCAAUCCAAUUAGCACUGCGACUGGGCUCGCUCAGAGAUGCAAACAACAGCUACUCCCCCACCCUCCCCAGAGUGGGGCCUUUGUGGUAGUGAUCAGGUCAGAAACUACGUACUUACUCUCCAGUAAAAAGAGUGAAUACGUAAUUAUCAAAAUAACUAGCUCAUCAUAAUCAGGCAGACAUUGAGCUUUACAUGAAGAACCAAAGCUUCCACUAUCAGCAAAAUGGAAUAAAUUAGCUUUCAGAUCCGUCCAUUCCUAAGUCACUUAUGAGUAUUUCGAAUACAGACCUAGCCAGCCUGCAAUUCUAUAGUUCUGCUGGUCAUACUAGCUCAACCCAUAAAUGCCAUAUAUUUUCAACCAAUCAUUCAAAUAGAUCUUAUAUAUUUAAAUCUAAUAUACUAUAUUUUUUUAAUAAAUCAAAUAGAUAUAAAUAUAUCUGCCAGAGUUAGCGAGGGUUAGAAUUCUAUAAUAUACUUACGGUAUAGUUGAUACAUAAGAUACUAUUCAAUCGACUGCAGUGUUAAUUUUUUAUACAAAACAUUUUAAUAAAAAAUAAUAUAUGCAUCACAUGCAAAUAAUUUUUUUUUUUUAUGCAUGAAAAAUCUCAGGGUGCAUCCAAUGGCAACAAUCCACGCAGAAGGGUUGGAAUCUACUGACCCUCGCACCGUCAAUCGUUACAGUGGAGACGUGCAAUAAUUGAGUUAUAACGAGGGAACAUCAUCUUGGGACGUGGAGUGUCGGUAGAGCCCGGAGGGCGGGCCCGGUCGGCCAGCCUGGUGUCUCGCUUUCCGCGUCGCCUUGGCCAUUUUUUCCAUGCACGUUAUCAUCACACUCAGCAUCUGACCCUUUUGUUUCUUGUCCCUGCUUGCUUCCGUCUUAUCGGAAUGAGAUUCCACUGCUACUUCCCGUUGUAAUCCGGCAUUAGCUCCCGCUGUCCACCUCCACAUGCGACCCAUUUCUUUCAUGGGCCCCCUCUCUCCUUUCCCACAACCAUCCCCAAUUCUCCACAAUUCGAGUCCAAUAUCCACAUUGUCAACGCUUCAAAUGCUCAAUCAUUAGCCAAAUGCAAAUAAUGCUAGGAGAAAAUCUGGAUCCAUCUUUGAAUUGACUGCUAACUCCUCAUCUUUGGAUUAUCCAUUUAGAUAUAGAACUGAAAUAGGAUCAUCUCCGAAUCUAAUACCAGUGUAUUUAUAUUCAUGUAUAUUUUAUUUUGAUGAAUAUAGAUAUGAAUAUGAAUGCUAUAUUUAUUUUAAAUAGAUACGGAUAUAAAAUCGGAUGCUAUUAUAUAUAUAAAUAUGGAUAUAAGUUUAAUUAAAUUUUAUAAUCAUAGAAUCUAAAGAUAUUGCUAAAUAGAUGAUAAAUCUAAUUAAUAGCAUGUUAAUGUAGUCGUUUAUCUUUCUUAAAAGUUUAUAAGUGCUAUAUAAAAUUAGAUGGAGUUACAAAUAGAGUCGAACAUAGAUAUGGAUACGGAUAUUAGUCAGAUGCUCAAAUUGCUAUUUAGAUUCGAAUAAAUUCGGAUAAAAAAUAGAUACAGAUGGAUAUUAUUCGAUCUACUUUCACUUCUAUUUACAGAUCAAGCUCAACCAUGUAUAAGGACUAAAAUGUAAAAUGAUAUCCACAUAAAAUGGCAUUCAACAAAGGACCAGAUGGUAAGUUUCCCAAUAAUAUUUGAUCGAUGUAGGAGAAGCAUGAUGAAUAUAGUCUAGACUGAACCGGGGAUGCUUAACUCGAUCUCCUGAUGCGACAGCAUUAGGCCAAUGGACACUCCAUUUGCCCUGGGUGGAAUCAAGAUCGGGGUGUUUAUAAAUCAUGCUUUCAACUGCAUGCACAGAAUGCAAAUGAUGCUAUCCAUCAGUGCUCAUUAAUGCAAUGGGAUCAAGAGGCAAGAAUCAACUCCAGGAACCAUGCCUGAAACUAAUCAGGAAUCUCGAUCUUAGAUCAUGUUGGUAACCACAUUGCCAGGGCUAAGGGCCCUGGUGAAUAUAAAUGUGUUUUAAUCUAUAUUCAACAAAGAGACAUUAGUUUGAUCAGUGUUUAAUAUAUUGACAAGUACUUAUGAACCCAUUGCUGCAAUCUAUAAAUUUUUAUUUUUCUUUAUAUAAUUUUUUUAAUUUUCUUUAUUUAAUAAUUUUCUAUUCAAUAUAUAUAUCUGACUAUUUUAAUUUAAAAUUAUUCUAAUCACCAAUAUUUUACUCAAUUAUGAUUAACUUGACUUAAAAUAAUUUCAAAUUUUCUUCAUUUAAAAAAUUGUCCUCAUUGAUUAUUUACUUUUCUUUAUUUCUUAAUUUUCUUUACUCAGAUAUUUUCUACCCAUGAUAAUUAUUCAACUACAAAUCCGAAAUAGUUUCAAAUUUUCUUUGUCUGACUUUUUCUUCAAUGUAAAUAUCCGACCACAUCAAUUGUACUCAAUUAUGAUUAGCUAGAAUUUGAUAUAAUGUUCUAUAUUCAAAAUAUUUUUACUCGUUCACUAUAUAUUUAUGUUAGAAUAAAUUAUAAAAACCUCCUUAAGAUCAAAGAUAAAUUGCACUUACACCUAAUAAUUUGAAAAGGCUACAUUUAUCUCCUUGAGGCUUAUUUUAUAAAACACUUUAACUCAUAACUUAGCAAAACAUUAGCUAGACUGUUAACAUUAAAUAAAACCCGAAAAAAAUUGAAGAAUGACCAAAACAAUCUUAAGUGAUAUAACCACCACUCAACGAACUAAAAAAAUAUAUACAUUCUUCCCUUCAUCCAAAGACAAUUUUGACUUUUUACCUAAGAUGAACAACCUUGCUAACAUUAUUAAUUUAACUAAACGUAAGUAUACAUUUUUAUAAACUAUAAAAUAUAAAUGUAAUAAGGAUAAACAUUAGGAGAAUUUUUGUGAUUUACUCUUAAUUUUAUUUAUUUGGCAUUUUUUUAGAUUUCUUAUUUAGAUGUUUUACAUUCACCAUAAUUAUCUGAUUGUGGCAGAUAUUUUCUAUAUCUAACCAAUUUGUAUAGCAUAAUUUUAACUAGCAUGAGAUUUUUACGCAUUUUAAAAAGAGGGGGUAACUUCGGGACUGAAAAUGACUGAUGAAAUCUGAAAGUAAUAUUUGGACUCAUGCUGCAGCAAGGUCUCACCCUCCUGGAAAUGGACGAGUUAGCUUACUUGUAAAUCUUAGCUACGAUCGGACACCCAUCAGAAAUUCAACGAAUAUCACCAUAUGGUUAACAAAGUGUAUGCAGUAAAGAUGCCCCAGCCUGCUGAAUCCCUUUACAUCAAUAACAUGAAGCUUCCAAGCAUUAUAAACUCCGAAAUAGAAGGAUGGUAACACAUCAACAGCCAAUAUUUAGUAUUUAAUACAAAAAAUCAGUAAAUUUUCAAUUCUUACAAGUCUCUUUCACUAAUCUUCCAAGUGACACACAUGCUUUCUGGCUUCCAGUAGAAAAGGUUCACUAAAGGAACAUUCACAAUAACAAUCAAAACUUGUGUGCGUGGCUUGCAGCUGGUAAGCUCGUAAUUCUUCUUGAUAAUGACAAUGGCAAUAACUAGUUACAACACAUGAACCAAAUCACAGAAAAAGAAAAUGUAGCAAAAAGAUAAUUGCAUACAUCAUGACAUCUCAACAACACUGCUUGCAUCUGCACAUGCCAACACCUCAGAAAAGAGUAGCCAGCAAAACAAAGUAUUCAUUAACCAGAUUGCUAAUAAAAUCACACGGAACAAUUAUGUUGCUGAUUGUUUUGGUAUCUUCCCUUCUUCCUGUUGACUUGUUUUCCCAGUUCCCUGCCAAUGCGGAAAAACAAAUGACUCGUCAACGUCAUGAGUUGCCCUACCAUACAAGAAACCUCAUUUAAAGAAGAGUAACUUUAUCAGAAUAAUGUUGAUACUUUAGCAGACAUAACAAAAAUACCAACACCUUAGAUUUGGAGGUCUGCCAUACCGACCCGUAGUGCCCUAUACCGAUCGUGCUGUACUAUACUGGUAAGGUAGUGAUAGGGUACUGAGGUUUGGUUCAAUAUAUCAGCCAAACUGGUCCAAACCGAGCGGAACUGCUCUACACAACCCAAUACUGGCCUGUAAUGCCCGGUUUUUGAGCAGUAAAUAGCUGAGAGAGAGAAAAGAGUGUUGCAAGCUUGAUGGAUGCCAUACCGAAUCGGUAACGUACCGAUAUGGUUUAGUACCAAUUUUGUGGACCUUGGAUUAAACAACUUCUAUUAUUAUGGGUGCACAGCUAGUCAACUUUAAAUUUAAUAACUAGAUGGAGGAUCUACCUGAAUUUGUUGCAAGAGUUCCUCAAGUUCAAUAGUUAUCUCCGAAAAAGAGGGUCGUUUCGCUGGAACCGCCUCCCAACAUCUUUUCAUCAACUCAACUAAUUUAGGAUGCGUAUUUUCCGGAAUCUCUGGACGCAAACCCUAGUAUCGCACAUAAAGAAGUAAUACGUAAAUAUGGUUAAAAACUAUAUAAAAAAAUAUUUUUAGCAUUUAGCCUACCAAUGAGUCAAUGAUAUCAUUUCCGGCAUUUAUUUGGAUUGAAAUCAUGGCUGUAAUAAUGUCUAUUAUUAGCCUUUUUAAAGGGGAACAGAUAAAACAAGCAAACUAUUUGAUCAUGACAAUAUUAAAAAACUUCUCUUUAUGUAGUUUGAUGGACAUUUAACUUUUAUUUUUUAUCAGAUGAGAAAUGAACAUGUCAAAUAACAGGUAUCAUUCUCCACCAUAUAAAAACUAUUACAUCAAAUAUCCAUUAUAUGUCCAACUAAAAGUUGGGCUUUCGAAACAUAUAAUUACCACUAUUCUAACCAUGUCACUGCCAAAAGUAUUUAUUUCAUGGAGAGAAAUUUUUACAAUAGACAUUGACACCUUGUAUAUUGAACUAACAAAAACAAUCAUGCAAGACAAUAGAAAGCUAGAGUCGGUCCAUGUGUGAAAAGCACUUAAAACCAAAGUUUUUUAAGUCCCAGUGGGACGAAAGGCGUCCCAGCCGUCCCGUCCCAUUCCUGUGAGAAAACGGGAAUAGGAUAGGGUUAGGAAUUCGAAACCCAUCCACAUGGGGAGAGAAGAAGAAAAGGAAAAAGUGGAAGGAAAGAAAAGAAAAAGAAGAAAGAAAGGAAGGGAGAACAAAAUGAAAGAAAGAAAGGAAAGAAGGAAGAAAGGAAAGCGAAAGAAGAAGAAAAAAUAAAUAAGAAAUACAGGAAAGGAUACAAGAAAGAAAAAGGAAAGGAAAGAACGAAAGGUAGAAGAAAAAGAAAGAAGGAAAUAAAGAAGAAAAAAAAAGAAAGAAAGAAAUGAAAGAAGAAGGGGGGAGAGAGACAGGAUGGUGUGGGACUUUGGGGCAUCCCGUUCCAUGAAGAAACCAGGACAUCCCCAUCACAUGAGAUUUAAAACUGUGCUUGAAAUAGUAAGUUACAAUCUUUCUGAUAAAAUAAUACAUUGGAUAGUAACACCAAGACACAUGGAGGAAUGUUAAUAAGACACAUGAAACAUAAUUUUUCAACCUAAAAUAUUUUCACAUGACAAGACUAGAGAGAAUUUGGAAAUAUGCGGACAUUGUCCUUGCAAUUCAGCCAAUGAACUUGAGCUAAAGCACCUAAGCUUGUCACAAGUAGGUAUGAAACAAUGAUAACCAUAGCAAUCUGUAACCAAGACAACUAGAUCCUUAUGAUCAACACAGAGAACAUUUUUCUAUGUGAUGAAAAAUACAAACCAGUCUUACUCCUAAUGCAGCUUGCAAGGGUGUCAUGGUUUCAUAUGGGACCUGCACAAUGACAUCAUAAACUUGUUACUCCACCUCAUAAUCAUAUGGUCCCAUCUUCCAAAAUUUGCUGGAUCAAUAAUCCAUAAGUUGAAAGAGGUGCAAUUUCAGCAUGUACCUUUGAUGUUACUAGCUCCCAGAGCACAAUGGAAAAACUGAAUACAUCAGCCUUAUGAUCAUAUGGUUGAUGAUUUAUAACCUGGAAAGAGCAAAGUUGUAAUAUAAAAAUCAGAAAAUAUGUUUAUCAUUAUUUAAAAUAUAAGUAUGAUAAUACUACUUUACAUGGUAUGAGGUAUGUAUCGAUUAUAAUUGUGGGAGAAAGUAAUUUUGAAGCAUUCACAAUUUAUUUUUCAGGUCAACACAUGUUUAUAGCUUCAAUUUUAUCUGAUAUGAGCCAUAACUUCACCCAUAUAGACCUAUAUCAUGCAAUGUAGUUAUUAUCAGCAAUACAGCUUAUAUAUAAAAUCCUGGAUGAUUAUCCACUUCUUUUAAUAAUUUCAUUUUGCAUCUUCUUCUUCCCACCAGGGCUCUAAAGUCUGCCUCAUGAACAACAGGAAGGAAUUUCAGCAGGAAAGCCCAUUCUAUAACUCUCUCUUUUUAUGGUUGUUUUCAUGAGAUUUUUAUUUCUAGCAAGGCCAAUGACAUCUUUUUUUUCUCCUUUUUAUGCCUCUUAUCCGAAAGAAUUGGUUUUGAUGGGUCUGCUGUCCUUGAAAAUGUCCUUUAUCAUUAAAAGAUUAUAUGAAAGUUUGAACAAUUUCUGCUUCAAGCUCUUUGCCUAUUUUUUAUUUUAUUCAAUUGAUGUUUAUGACCAUCAGGACAGAUACUAGAAGUGAUUUCUAAUUUCAUAUACUAAAUUACAUGUGAAUAACUCCUAUUAUUUCCAUAUGCUUUUGAACAACUCAUGUUUUUCAAUUUAAACAGAUCAUUUUCCUUUGAAACAAAUAGCAUUUGAUAAAGUUGAUGGCUUUUCAUUUGAACCAUAUAAAUUCAACCAACUUUUAGUUGACAUAAAUCAACAAAUUUUAGCAUUGAAUCACUUUGCUCAAAAACACAUCACUAGUCCAAUUGGACCGAUCCGGCCAAACCAACCCAACAUGAGGGAUGGGUGGUCUCGAUGGAUGCCUUCGAGCAGUGUCUAUCUCCCUGCCAUCAUAGAGAGGUAAGCAGUUGGGAAACCAUCACCAAGAGACGAGACUGGAUGUGCAAUUGCCACCAGAUAAAGGUGCAUGCAUGAUCCAUGCGGAACCAUUGCCUAACCGCAUCAGUGAGGAUGCAGCAAGCACAACCACCACCUUGUUCCCUCUCUCUUCAUCUUUCGAUUCGCUACCACCACUGCCAUUUCCAACCUCAAUCCUCUCCAUGCUCACCGUCCAGUGACUAUCUACCACCAAGGAAUCAACUUUUCCUCUCCUAUUUUUCAUUCUCUCUCCUCUGUUUCGAGUCACCAUCCUUCAGAUUCUUUCACCGUUGAGCACCACCACCACCACCUUCCUUCCUCCGGUGUCUCACUGUCAACAAUCACCGCAUCAGCGAGGGGCUCAUCGCCAACCAACUCUCCCUAUUCCCCCUUUUCUCAACUCCACCACCACCUCUCAAAUCCACUGCCGACAUUUAGUUCCACCACCACCUCUCGGCUCUCUCUCUCUCGCCCUUUCCCCUUUCUCAUAUCUAAGCUAGCCUGCCCUACCAAUCAGUGCCUAAGGGCCCCCAGUCACACUUUCCCCUAUUUUUUCCAUCAUCUCCAGACCCUUAUGCUCCACCUCCUGCGUUUUGAUUGUCGGUGCCUUGAUUCCAUCUUAAUGCAGUGCCCCGCCAAAUUUCAUCACCACCACCUUGUCGAGCCUUAUCAUUCCUUUUUUGCACCAUUCACAACUCUUACAGCGCCGAUGCCAACCAUGACAAACUGACCAUCCCUCCAUUCUACUUUCUUCUCCCUCUUGAUACCCGCCACCCUUCUUCCUCGAAUUUCUAUUAACUCUCUUCAAAACCCUCACUUAUUGGGGUAAUCUUUGACCCUAACCCUAAACAAACCCCCAUCACUUUGUAAUCAUCUUUCUUAUCAUUUUCCCUGACCCUAGGUGGUCUAAUUUUGUGUAGGGGAAUGACUUUCCGAGCAAGAAGACUAGUGUGUAGCCUUUUGCACUAAUCACUUGAUCGAGGUAAGCCCCUAACCUCCUUAUUUAAUUUCAAUAGUUCACUUGGAAUAAGGUUAGGUUAGAGAAAACAUAGGACUACGAUUAAUUUCGGAAAGGGAUACUAAAAAAUAGAAUUUGAAACUAAGGUACAUAGCCCCUUUCACAAUUUGGAUUGAAUUCCUCUCCUUGCUCGAAUAGGACUAGAUAUCCUAAAAUAAAUAUGAUUAUUAGAAAUAUUCUAGAAAAAAUUAAAAUUUAGAAAUAUUGUAAAACAAACUAAAAUUUCUGAGGAGGUAGAUCUCGACUUUUACAUUAACUCUGCCUUCUAUCGCUCCGCCUGAUUCUUCUCGAAUAGAAAACUAUGCCGAUCAAAGUUUUAUCCAAAAAGAAAACUUUCGGUUUGGCCAACCCAUUUCAGAGCCUAAAUGGUGGAAUUUUGUUCCAAUUCAACCUUUCCGUUGUAGAUCUUGAAAAGCUACCCAAUUUGAAAAAAAAGAUCAUCUCAAUCGGGCAUAGUAUAACCAAGACAUAACCUUCGGAAGUUUGUCAUGCGACUCGACUUUCCGAUGUGGUAGAUCUCGCUCCAGAACCCUAUCUAGCCCUGCUUAUAGUGGCCAAAGCAUUCCAUAUCGAGUCUGGUGAUCCUCUUGAAUACUUAUAGUGGCCAAAGUCUCCAUCGAGUUUGGUAAUCCUCUUGGAUACUCGUAAUAGCCAAAGUGAUCCAUAUCGAAUCUAAAGAUCCUCCUGGAUUAAGGCUCCCUCUAUUUAGGGUAUUUAGUUCCCACUAAAUUAGAACUGAAAGUGGAAAAACAUCUGCUUUCCCGUCUCACGGUCGACCCACCUAGCUUUUCUCGAAGAUGGUUUCUGACCUAGCUCUCCUUUGCUCUCGAGUCUCGGCAAACCACUUGCUCUGCUCUUGCAUCUGAACUUCGUGGUAGGUACCCUCCUUGUUCUUCCUCGUUGAUGACUAUGACAAUUCCUCCUUUGAUCUCAAUCUCGGUAAAUCGGUCAGUGGAACCAACAUACGAGAGUUUGGCCUCUUAUAAGUAGUAUUAAGUUCUCGUACCAUCAUCACAAACUUAUUCCAGGCAUUAACAAGUCGCUUUGCCUGGGCAUCAGCUACAAGGUCAAUGUUACCUUGUGUUCUAGAGGCAUUGAUCAUGAACUCCACAUCUUUCAUGAGACGAUACUUCUUCAGACGCCAGUAUAAGAUUACAUCUCGAUCCCAAAGGUACGGGAUCCCAAGGAUAACCUGCAAUCCAAAGGAACUACUUGAUCGGACUCUAUAUGGAUUACCAGGAGCUAAACAACGGAACAAGUAUCCCUUGCAAAGAAUUGAUGAUCUUUCAAUCCGUUACAAGGAUUGCAAGUCUUCUCAAAAAUUGAUCUUCACUCCCGGUACCACCAGUUAAAAAUUACGGUUGAAGAUGUGCCCAACAUAGCUUUUAGAACUAGGUAUAGACAUUAUGAAUCUUGCUGAUGCCUUUUGGGUUCACGAAUGCACUUGUAGGCUUUACGGAUCUAAUGAAUAGGAUGUUCAAACCCUUCCUAAAUCAAUUUGUGGUAGUGUUUAUUGAUGACAUCUUAGCAUAUUUGAAUGGCCAAGAAGAGCAUGAGGAAAGGAUAAUACUGCAUACCCUCAAAGAAAAGAAACUUUAUGCUAAGAUGCAAAAAUGUGAGUUUCAGUUGAGCAAUAUGAGCUUUUUGGGCAUGUGAUCUCUAAAGAUGGCAUCUCUAUGGACCAGAAGAAAGUAGAGGUAGUGGUUGAAUGGAGUCAGCCCACUAAUAUAUCUGAGGUGCGCAGCUUCCUAGGAUUGGUUGCAUAAUACUAAAGAUUCGUUAGGAAUUAUCUUGCAUUGCUAUACCAUUGUCUCGCUUGAGUUAGAAACAAGCCAAGUUUGAGGAAACAAAAGAGUGCGAACAAAGCUUCGAGGAGCUAAAGAAGAAAUUAGUGAUAGCCUUGGUCCUAACCAUUCCAACAGUGACAGGUUUCAUAAUUUUUAGUGAUGCAUCUUAGAAGGGUUUGGACUGUGCUUUGAUAUAGAGUGGAAAGGUAGUAACCUAUGCCUCCAGAGAGCUAAAGCCAAAUGAGAUGAAUUAACCCACUCAUGAUUUGAAGAUAGCAGAUGUGGUCUUUGAAAAGUGGAGGCAUUGUUUGUAUGAGGAGCCACGUAAGGUCUUCAUAGAUUAUAAAAGUUUAAAGUACAUGUUCACCAAAAGGACCUAAACGUGAGGUAGAGAAGAUAGUUGGAGUUAGUAAAAGAUUAUAAUCUGACUAUUAAUUAUCACUCAAGUAAGGCAAAUAUUGUAGCUGAUGCUUUGACCAGGAAAUCUUCAAGUGAUUUAGCAACUUUGAUCACCAUACAAGGGCAUGUUCUGAUGGAUCUAGAGAGGCUUGAAAUUAAGGUACGGCUGCAUCAUCCUGAUGCCUAGCUAGCUAAUCUUAAAGUGCAGCCUACCCUAAUCAAGAGGAUUAAGGCAUCUCACGGAUAAGAUCCAGAACUCCAAAGAUUAGAGAGGCAGAAUUUGAUGCCACCUAGAAUUCAGAAUACAUGAAGAUGGCUCCCAAAGGUUUGGUAGCAGGUUAUUUCUACCUAAAAUUCUAGAGUUGAAGAAAAAGAUCUUGGUUGAGGCCCAUAAUUUCACAUACAUUGUGCAUCUGCCCAUAAUUCCGCAUACAUUGUGCAUCUAACAACACCAAGAUGUACAGAGAUUUGAGAGAGAAUUUCUAGUGGAACGAUAUGAAAAAAGAUAUUGCUCGGUAUGUUGCAUAGUUUUUAGUGUAUGAGCAAGUAUUUAAUGCAAGGUUCGUCGUCUCGAUACUAAACCCCGUACUGGUGUCAUCCUAUUAUAGUGUCGAUACACGGCAUAGCACGAAACGGUGAGAUAUACUGAAUGUCGGUAUGGUACGAGACGGCGAGGCAUACCGAAUAUCAAUACGGUAUAAGACUGCAUACCAGUUUGGUAUCGCUAGGGUACGGUACCUACUGGUACGGCAAAUCUACGUUUAGCGUAUGAGAGACCUGCAGGACCAUCGCAAUCCAUUCUCGUCGCUUAGUGGAAAUGGGAGCAUAUUACCAUGGAUUUCGUGACCGGUCUAUGUAGAACCCCUAAAGGUAAUGAUGCUAUAUAGGUGAUUAUUGAUCGAUUGACAAAAUCAGCACGCUUCUUACCCUUCAAAAUUAGUCUUUCUAUGGAGAGGUUGGUAAAUUUGUCCAUAAAGCAAAUCGUGAGGAUGCAUAGAGUCCCAAUUGCUAUUGUAUCGAAUAGAGAUACUAGGUUCGUAUCUCAGUUCUCUAAGAACUUGCAUAAAGCUACUGGUCUAGAUUGAGUUUCAAUACAGCUUUCCACCCACAAAUUGAUAAGCAGUUUGAAAGGACCAUACAAAUUCUAGAAAAUAUGUUGAGGGCCUAUAUCUUACUUGGAUGGUGCUUGGGAUAGCCACGUCUCUGAUAGAAUUUGCCUAUAAUUACAGCUAUCAAAGCAACCAUUCAGCAGGCACCAUUUGAGGCACUAUAUGAUAAAGGGUGCGGGUCCGCCAUGCUGGGAUGUUGGCGAGAAGAUUGUUGGGCCUUGAAUUGGUAGAGCAAAUUAUGAAAAACAUUCAGCUAAUUACGGAAGGACUCCGUACAACUCGGAGUAGAUAGAAAAGUUUUGGAAUUUUAAGUAGGAGACCAUGUUUUCUUGAAUGUAUCGUCUACUAAGAGUGUGAUAAGGUUUGGAAUUCGCGGCAAGCUGAGUUCCAGAUAUAUGGGUCUAUUUGAAAUUUUUGAUAGAGUGGGAGUAGUAGCAUAUUAGCAUUACACCCACCAUCUGAAGUACACAAUGUGUUUCAUGUAUCAAUGCUGAGGAAGUAUGUGCUUGAUCCUAGUUAUGUGGUGGAGUUUGAGUUGUUGAAACUUCAUGAGGAUCUAACCCACAAGAAGUACACAUUAUGGAUUGAAACUUCAUGAUGCUACACUAUUCCUCAUAACAAAGUUCAGUGAACCAAAUACAUUUAGAGGGAGGCUUAAUGGAUACUUGAAGAUGAGAUUUAGAGUUAAGUACCCUCAACAUUUUAGGACCAAAUAAUGUCAAUUUCAAGGAUGAUUUUUUUUUCUUGGGGAGAGGAAGCAAGAACCGAUACAAAUCCAAAUGGACCAGCCCAGAUGAACUGACCCAAAUUGAGGGUUGGAUUAUCUCAUAGCUACAACCCGAAAUAGGAGAGGCAGUCAUCUCCUUGCCAUCAUGGAGAGGAGAGUUGUUUUGAAACCAAUGCUAGGAGAUGGGAUCGAAUGCAGAAUAGCCACCGAAUAAAGGUGACAUGCAACUACCAUACCAAUAAAGACGAGGCGAGCAGAACCAACACCAUGUUCCCUCUAUUUCUCUACUUCCUCUUUCGAUAAGCGACUACCACAACCAUUUCCAACCAUAAUCUCUGCGUGCUUGUCGUCCUCGGCCUAUCAACCACCAAGGCACCAACCUUUCCUUGUUUUCUAUUUUGUCUCCCCUAUUUUGAGUCAUCAUCUUUUCAGUUCCUUCAUUGUUGAGCACCACCGCCACCACCCUUCUUCCUCCAGUUUCUCACUAUCAACGGUCGUUGCAUCUGCAACGGGCUCAUCACUGGACCAGCUCUCCCUAUUCCCCUUUUUCUAACCUCUCCACCACCUCUCAACUCCACUGCUGCCUCUCAAAUCCACCAACAUUCACUUCCACCACCGCCUCUCAACUCUCUCUCUCCCCCUCUCCCUCUCUCAAAUCUAAGCCGGCCUACCCAGCUCAUCAAUGCCUAAGGACUCCAUAUCUCACUUUUCUUGAUUUUUUCCAACCCCGGACCCUGCUUUCCUCCUCCCGUGUUUUGAUUGUCGGCACCUUGAUUCGAUCUCACUGCCGCACCCAUCGAACUUCACCACCUCCACCUCUUCGUGCUUCGUCAUGGCUCUUUGUUCGCUCCUUUCUGUGCCAUUCACAACUCUUUCAGAGCCAACAUCAACCGCGAAAAACCGACCACCCCUCCGCUCUACUUUGUUCUCUCUCUCUCGACAUCCGCCACCCUACCUCUUCCCCGAAUUUUCCUGUUAACUCAAGGUUCUCAUUUGUGGGGUAAUCUUCCACCCUAACCCUAAACAGACCCCACCACUUUGUAAUCAUCUUUCUUAUCAUUUUUCCUAACAUUAGGUGGCCUAGCUUUGAAUAGGGGGACGACUUUCCAAGCAAGAAGACUAGUGUGUAGGGUUUUACACUAAUUACUUGACAUGCAAUCCCCAUGUGUAUGGAUGGAUGUGGGCCACGGGCUAGUCUCAUUAAUAUCAUUGCCCUAUCACAAGCUAGAAUUGUGGCACUAUUAUUGCCCCGUCAUAUGCUAGAAAUACGACACUAUUGUUGCCCUAUCAUGGGUUGGAAACAUGAUCGAGAUUAGCCCAAAGAUGAAUUCAAAUUAAAUUACAUUUGUAAACUGAUGUCUGCUAGAUUGCAUACCUUACAAAAUAAUAUAAAUGGGAAUGACCAAUUUAGUGAAAGUAUGGAGUUAUUAAUUUUACUUGCUUAAUUAUUAUUGUUAUUGUCUCAUGUAAUGAAAGAAAGAUGCAUUCAAGUACUAGUUCUUUUGAAUAUAUAUUUCAUAAUGAUGCUAUCUUUAUCUUAUUGUAACUGCUAUACUUGUUGUUAGACAAUUUCUUUUGUCCAUUAUUUAAUAUAUAUCCAUGUGUGGGGGACAUUCUUACUGAGUCGUUAGCUUAUAUCAUUCCUUUAUUUUUCCUUUCAGAGCCACAAGAUGCUUAGAACUAGGCUAAGUUUGUGGUAAUGAGUAAGAAGUGGAAUAAUUAGAGCAUCUCUGAUACCACUCGAGUGUUUGGAACUUAUAGCUGGAUAAUUAUUUGUUACUAGUGAAAAUAAUUUAGUUUGUUUUAAAAAAAUAAUGAACAUGAUUUAUAUAUUAUUCAAUCUAAUUGAGAUUUUUUAUUGAUUUGAAUGUCUUGCAUAUUCUCUCGGCUAUGCUUACAAAAAUAUGCAGCCAUGUCGUGCCCAGCUUGAGUUUGGGUUAGGGGUGUGACAACAUAUCAAAAUGAUAAACUACACAUGUUACCUGGAAAUGCCGCAUGAAAAAGAGAUUAUGCUAAAUAUUCUUUAGUAUUCUAUUAGUUUGUAGGCCUUUGUACUCCUUUUGACUUCAGUACAUUACAUUAUUUUUUGUUCAAUCCAUUUUUGAUUCCUAGGCUGACUCAAAUGGGCUUAACAAACAGAACUACCAUAUACCAUAUAUGAAAAGCAUUCAGUUUUAUCCAUGCAAUUUGGGUAGCAUAUUCAUCUAAUUGUGUUUAUAUAAUCUUUAACAAUUAAAUGACGAUAUGUUUUCCUGUACCUUAAUGUUUUAUACAAUGAAUUUCAUAGUGCAUAUUUCCAUUUAAUUUCAUUAUGUGUAACAAAAGCAUUUUGUCAGAUUGUAUAUAAAAUGCUUUGACUCCAUUCUGAACUUUUAAAUCCAUAAGCAUAACCAAAAUGAUCAAGCCUAGUCCCAACUGUGUGGUCAGAUUUGUGAAUUCACAGUCGCCAUGUUUACCUAUUUUGGGUUGCCUCUGAUGUUGUUUCAGGAUUCAUGAAUCCUUAUUCUAAUUUUCAAUUAAAAGUACUAUAAAAUUUCAAAUAGUUAGAUAAAAAUAUAUGCAGGCCAGUUAAUAAUUUCUUCUUUAGAGAAAAUUAAUCAACUAUUUUAAAUCAGUUUCACUAAAUCUUGCUGAAACACAAUCAUCAUUAACUGGAUUGUGUGUAUAGCAUGAUUGAUACGGGAACCUUCCUGAGGUCAGGUAAUAUUUCACUUGAUAAGACUAUUUGUAGAAUGAACAGAAAAAAGAAACAUGGAGGGACUAGUUUAUAUAUCUGUAGCUACCAUUUUGGAAAGCUGUGGCAGCGAUCAGUGCCAUCAGUUAACAUUCUAAUGUCUACCAUGUCAUUUAACAUAUCAGAUUACAGUAAAAAAACAGUUUGAGAAAACAAGUUCGAAAAAUUUAGUAAUGAUUGUUAUUUUGCUGAAAUGGCAGUAAAAGAGAAAUUCAAAGGACAAAAACAAAACUAUAAGCUGAGGUUCAUUACAUAAAAUUAUAGAUUAAUACAUACUAUCAACAGAUAUAGCAAAAUAAGUAAUCCAUUUAUAAAAUGAAGAUAAUACCUCAGGUGCCAUCCAUCUGUAUGUCCCAGUUUCUGCAGUCAUAUCUCCCUCUUGACUUUGAAACCGAGCCACACCAAAGUCUGCCACCUUCACAACCUAGGUUAGUAGAAGUAAAACUAUAAAACUCAUCUUGAGUGAAGUUGCAUGAUCCUCAACUAAUAAAUUAAUGAAUUGCAUCAGUAUUACUUAAACAAAGAAUAACCUCAAAUACAAAAAACAAAGAAUAACCUCAAAUAUAAAAUACAUAUAUAUAAAUCCAUGCAAACAAGUACCUCAAUCAUGUGUUUAUUUUUUUCAGUUACAUUAUGAGUUUUAAUAUGAAAGGAAGGAUCUGAGAAGUCUUAAGGACAAAACUUAGCAGAAACACAGGGACAAGGGCCUUGGAACAACACACACAAUGCCUCAAGCAAGAAAAUAAAGCCUCUGGUCACUUCCAAACCGGAUACAGAAAACAGACCUCGGGUCCAUGGUUUUGGAGCAUCUAAAAAUUGCUGGUAGAAACCCCACAUUCUCAGACUAGGACAAAUGGUAUAUCCUCUUAAUAUAAAGGGACAGAAUAAUGCCUUUCCAUUGUUUCCUUGAAAGUUGUUCAAGAAAAGAUAGAUGUUAGUCAACAUUAAGUAAUGAUCGUCAAAGAACACCAAAAUAUCUAGCUUGUACCAGAGUCAUGUAUAGAAAGUUUGGUGAAUUUGCAUCUAAUUUUCAGCUAAAUGAAUUUUACUCACCUAAAAACAAAUUAUGCUGCUACAUCUAAUUCAUAAACAAGUGUUUCUUCUAAGGAAGAAAAGAGAAAAAAACAUGUAGAAUAAAUUACUGGUUCAUUCUAGCAAAAAUUAUUGAAUCUUGAAUUUUACUUUUCUGGUAAAAUUUUUAAAACAUAGCCUCAAUAAAAUCUUAAGUUUGAAAAUACUAGAGAAAAUGUCAUUUCUCUGACCGAGAUUAUGCUGGGUUAGUUUUUGGGAGGUGAGAAAUAUCAAGCUUCUAUCCUUUGCACCACGUCACACCAUCUCCUUCCUUACUGAUUUUAUCCUUGUCAAUGCAACUUUAACAUUUCUUCAAAGAUACUAUAUCCUAAAUCCUAGUUCUCCCAAAUUUUAUUGCAUAUCGACCUCAGCAUUCUUGUCUAAGAUUAAAAUCUCAAAAUGUAGCUUUGACAAGACAUACCAAUCCAAUUACCUCUGGAAUUUUUGGAUGACUCAAGGUACCAUAUCUUCCUUCUGAAAAAAGAAAAAAAUUGCAGAAUUGUAAAAUAGAACGCAAACAAAUAUAUUUCACUAAGCACAUGAACUAGUCCUAUUCCCAAUUUGGAUUGUAUUUCCUAACACAAAAUUUUAUGUGAGAAUACAAACUUUAGCAAGCAAAUUCUUCUGCCGUUAAAAAAGUUAAUACUAGUUAGUGUAAACAAGUUAGUUUACCAGUCAAAUAGUCCAGUUAUGAAAUUCAUUAAUAUAAAGCUUAUGUUUUCUAAGCAGAGAAAAAUUCAUGUAUUAUGACCUUUUCUUUCAUAACAUGUGCUAUUUGAUUGCUGCUUCUUUUUUGUAAUGAACAUAUGCAAAUAUCAUAGCACACAAUCUACUGGAAACCUCCAGGCAUGAAAUACACUAGAACUCUUCCAUUCCCUCCUUAACUUCUCUUAUUCUGAUGGCGAUAAAAAAUACAUACAUUAAAGAAAAAGGUGCAUCUGUUAUGUUUUUGAUUGCAGAAACUAAUACUUGUUAUAAAGUCAGCUUUCUGAAUUUUUUUUCUUUCCAUAUGCAUCUAGCUCCACACAACCAUAAAAGCAUGAUCUUGAAAUACAUAAAAUUUUUAAGACACCAAAGAUGUAAGGAAAUCAUAUAAUCAUAUAUAAUCCAACAUAAUGCAAUAUCAACAGAGGCUACACACAUUGUUGGUAUCCAUCAACAGGUUAGCUGUCUUUAAAUCCCUAUGGAUGAUGUCGUUUUGGUGCAGAUAGCUCAUCCCUCUGGAGAUAUCAAUGGCAAACUUCAGCAAAAGAGAGAGCUCCAAAACAUUAUGAUGCUUGUGCAGGAGGUCAUAGAGAUUUCCUCCAGUCAUGUACUCUGAAAUACAAUUUUAACCAUUAUGUAAACCAUGAGAAUAUAUUCCAAGAUGACAAACACCAGCCAAACAAAAGUGCUAUACAUAUGCUUUCUGCCCAUUAAUGGCAAGAUAAACAAUAUGAAAACGUUCUCAAGAACUGAAACUAACUAUUCAUUAUGAAAUUUAUCAUCUUAAACUUACAAGAGAGAGACAAUAUCCUAAUGCAGUACAAGAUGUUUCCCUUGUCAAUAAUAUACAAAAUUAUGUAUAGAGUAUAAGUAUAAUGGUGAACAGAAACCAUGUAUGAUGUUAAUGAGGCGAAUUCCAAGGAUCAUAAAGAUGAUUCAGCUCAAAUACAAAACCCACUAUACUAGAAAUACUAUAUGAAACUAUAAUGAAGACAACUACUUGCAAAUAAGCCAUUAGAUGAUUAAAUUAUGGGAAACAAGUAAGAAUAAUCAAGGAUGUAGUCAGUUAAAUAACUUGUUCAGUGUAGUUGCAACCAUUUGCAGAUAAUUUUGAAAAAAAAAAUCCAGAUCCAAAACAAAUUGUAACUGAUAUCCAUGAAAACUUCUUUCUUCAGGAUUUGUACAAGAUUUUUCUAUGACAUUAUGGAAUAAGACAGAAGUGUCAUCACCUUGAUCAGCUACAUGCCAUAAUUACUAUAAUUUAAAAAAUCUUUUUUAAAAAACAAUAUUCUCAUAUAAUUGCAGUUAAUUUUGAUCAGGAUCGCUUAACAUGGAUUCAGUAGCAGCGAUUGAACACAUAUCACGGCCCAAACUGUUUUGGUUGUUGUCAUGGGUUAGUGGUUUGGCCGGCCAAGACCUCCAUUUAACAUAUUUUCCUUACACAUUUGUGAUUAGUGAUCUUAAUCCCUAAUCUCACCUUUUCGUUCCCAUAGUGGUCCUCAUGAGCUUCAUUUGGAGAAGGCCUCUAUUUUCCAUACCAGGAGGCACACCAAACAAUCCUCAAUAGUACCCUAGCCAUGCUCCGCCGAACCGGUACCGAAACCCAUAUUGGUCGGCGGGCGGGUUGGUACUGUACCGGUUCAGUACCGUACCGACAUACGGUACGCUUGGGUGUGCCAAUACUAUACCAUACCCACAUACGGUACGCUUGGGCGUGCCAGUUCGGUGUGUCGAUACUAUACCGUACCCACACACGGUACGCUUGGGAACCAGCACGCCCAAUUUUUUUUCAAGUUUUUCAAGUUUAAUUAAUUGGUAAUCAAUCUUUUGCAACUUUUUAAAUGGUUUUAAGUCUAAUUUGAUGGUUUUUUGUUUUUUUUAAUCUUUUUAUAUUUUUUGAUGUUUUUAUGAUUUGAUUUAAUCUAAAUGAUAUAUUUUAUUGUUUUAAAGUGAUACAAAAUAUAAAGACCGGCACGCCCAAUUUUUUUUUUUUCAAGUUUUUCAAGUUUAAUUAAUUGAUAAUCAAUCUUUUGCAGCUUUUUAAAUGGUUUUAAGUCUAAUUUGAUGGUUCUUUGAUUUUUUUUGAAUCUUUUUAUAUUUUUUGAUGUUUCUAUGAUUCGAUUUAAUCUAAAUAAUAUAUUUUAUUUUUUAAAAUGAUACAAAAUAUAAAAUGAUUAGUGAGAUGUUAUAUGCCACAAGAAGCAACAUGAAAUAUCUUAAAAUCAACUAAUGAGAUAAAAAAAUAUAAAAUAUUACUGUCAAUUAAAUAUUUAAAGUACAUCCUACAUAUCGAUAUCUAAAAUUUCGUCGAGUGGCAAUGCCUCUUGUAGAAAUCUAGAUCAUUAGCAUAGCCAGACGGCAUAUCAACCCAUCCUUCUAACCAAGCAGUGUUGUAGUUUUUUAUGUUCAUCCUAUAAAGAACACGCUCUAGAUUAUAAGCACUCUCAGAUCUCUCGCUGAAGUUCUGACUCUGAGAGAUGUCCUCUAUCUGAUAAAACGGUUGUGGAAGGAUCCAUCCGAAUAAACCGGCAGCAAAAUUCGAUCCAUAAGAUACUCUGGACAGCAUAGAAUAGUAGCCACCGGAAGACAAUGCCUCAGACACUAUAUCCAUAAUUGUAUCCGUACGGAACAUAGGUUGCCUAUGACUGUGGGUAAUAGAAUCCAAUAUACGACUCGAAAUCUGAAACAUCUAUGGAUUCUACUCUACGUGCAAGGUCAUCUGUAGCUGCAUCAUGUCCUCCUGAAUGAUCUCAAGAAGUCUAUCAACUAUAUGCAAUCAUAUCCUCGCAGGCUCUACCAAAUCGUGCACCGUGAUCUCUAUUCUGUGUAGCAUGCGUAAACUAGAACUCACCCGUGAAUUGAAGAUAAUCCUAUGACUGUCUCAUAAACGGUGGUCUCAUGUCCUCCACUCGCUAGCCAGCAAAUCCAUGACCACCAAAGCUGCUACUCCUAGUUUUUAAAUCUAAGUGAACAGGCUCCUCCACACUCUCCAUAGGGCCUUUUGAAAUAUAUAUUAUGUGAUACUAAUUUUCAUAAUUUUUUGAAUCCAACAAUGGAUACUACAUAUAUUUUUUUAAACUCGUGGACUUGCCCAGGCCACUAUGCAUAUGAUCGCAUCAAAACUUGAAUAAAUGGACACCAAAUUUUGCUGGAGAGUAGCUUGCAUGCCCCUAAAUACGCCUAUGAUUUUACAAAUUUUUUUGAAUUUUAUUUUUUAUACUUUUAUUUUUAAUCUGAAAAUAUAUUUUUAAUUUUUAAAAAUUAUAUAUAAUUCAAAAAUUAAAAUUUUUUAUGUCAUCAUGUAGAUCAUCCAUAGAUCAACAACAUAUCAUUAAAUCAAGCCAAAAUCAAAAAUUUUGCUGAGAUCUUCUCUUAUUUGGCAAAUUUUGAGCUAUUUUUUGGAGCCCAAAAAAAUAGAAAGAAUGAGAAAGAGGAGACACGCCUUAUUUAGACUUAGAUCUUUCUUCAAUCAUGCUGAAUCGGUGUGAUUUUCACCGCGAAGAAAAGAAAAAAAAGUUUAGAGAACAGAAUAAACAUUGGGAAGGCUCAAGAGUUUCUCGGGCCUUUCCAACAUCUUAUUAUAACAAAGAAGAAAAGGGAAGGAGGCCAGUUCCGAACCAUCCCGACUCAGUGCAAACCGUCCAUGGAACCGGCUGGUUCCGGCAAGUUCGCGACCGGUUCUGAUAGGUUCUGUGAGGCCCAAUGAUCUUACAUCGAAAAGACUCAUUCCAGAGCCUGAGCAUAUGAGGGGGGUAUCUCCAAAUCCUGCAGAUGCAUUUUGGGUGGAAAACAAAACCGGAGAAGGGUCUGAGCAGUGCGUGCGGCGCGCGUGCGAGCCCCGGAACCGGACAAUAUCGGGCAGGGGAGCCCCGUGUUCUCCCCUCAUGUGGCUCCCACAUGGGCACUGGGUGCCGUACGUGCCCCAUGGAGGUAGGGGNNNNNNNNNNNNNNNNNNNNNNNNNNNNAGGACGGCUCUUGUCCGAUGGUGGAAAGAGUGUGAGGCCCAAUAGUCCCGCAUCGGAAAGACUCGUUCCAGAGUCUGGGCAUAUGAGGCGGGUGUCUCCAAAUCCUGCAGACGUAUUUUAGGUGGAAAACAAAACCGGAGAGGUAUCUGAGCGGUGCGUGCGGCGCGCAUGCGGGCCCCGAAACCAGACAAUAUCUGACAGGGAGCCCCAUUUCUCCCCUCAUGUGGCCCCCACGUGGCCACUGGGUGCUGCACGUGCCCUGCGGAGGCGGGGGCGUGACAGGUUCUGUCCAGUUUCGGCCAUUUCUAGCCAAUUCGGGACCAAUCCUGAAUUUAAUAGCCGAACCGAUCCGAUCCCCCACCAAGCCAGCUCAGUACGGGCCGAACCAGAUGGUUCAGUUCGGUUCGGCUGACCAUGACCUUAGCUUUGCCCCAACACCCUUCCCUCCUAUGCUAAGAUUGCCUUUCUACCUCCACUACCCAAAACCCCAGUCUCCCAUUCUCCCUAGCAGCACUGCCUCUUUGACACCAACAACAUCCACUCUGACUUUCUGAUCUUUGAUGCCAAAAUACUGCUCCAUUGUUGUUAAAAGCCCCAUCAUUAAUAGAUCCAAGCCCAUUCCCCCUCCACCACCAUAUCCUACAUCUGGUUCCUUCGGGAUUGUAGGGGGGUGAUGGGGAUUUAUGGUUUGAGAGAUUGAGCUUUAGGUGAAUGUGGCUUUAUUUUAUUUUAUUUUGCAACGUAUAAAGUUUGAUCUUUCAAAAACUUGAACCCAGACUGUGAGGGGGAUAAUAGCGAUUUAGGGUUUGAGAGUGAUUGGGCUUCAAGGGGAUUGCAAUUUUAUUUCAUUUUACAUGGUACAUAUUAAAAUUUGAUCUUUCAAAAAUGUUGAACUAGGGUCUUUAACUACUCAAGUGGUCAAAGCAUCAGGCUAAACAAUUAAAAAAAAAUCAAACCUACGUCUAGAAACUAGACUCGGCAGUUGGCAACUACGACAAGACAAUCUAUUCAACCUGAGCAGGUUUUAAAAUACUAUUUGAUACUUGAGAAGGCUCAACAGACAAAUUUAACACUCUACAUCCAAGGUCUGUCAAACUAGUAUCGGAGCUUGCAUUGGUCAGAAACAAGUUUGGUCUGAUAUGGGUCCUUGUUGUACUAUGCCAGAGCAUACCAAAACAAAGAGAGGCGAAGAGGGAGGACAAGGAGGGACAGAGGGGGAAGAGAGAGAGAGGAGGGAGGGAGAGGGAGAGGAGAGAUUGGAAGGAGAGAGAGAGGGGGGGAGAGAGAGAGGUGAGGCCGAGGCGUNNNNNNNNNNNNNNNNNNNNGAGAGGAGAGAGGAGGAGAGAGAGAGGAGGAGGAGGAGGAGGAGGAGAGAGUAGAGGAGAGAGAGAGGNGGGGGAGGAGAGAGAGGUUGAGGCCGAGGCGUCCGACGACAGCUUCAUGAGGGGAUAGAGGUUGGAGGGAGAGGGAGUGACGGGAAGUGAGGGCUUUGCAAGGGCUCGAAGUAGUUUCGAGCCAUCCGGAUUCGGUGAUAGGGACCGCGAGAGAGACAGCGCUUACCUUGAGUGAUCGUCCGACAGAGAGAGAGCGGAUGAUCCGAGCAUCUAGCAAAGAGAGCAGGAUGGAGUCGUCGAAGGCUCUCGAAGCUCUAGUUCAAACCGAGAGGGAAGGAGAGAGAUUUUAUAACUCAAACCAACCCGCACGACUAAACUGUUCCAGGCUAACAUCGAUUCAGGCCGAACCGCUUGGUUCAGGUUGCUUCAACAUUCUUUGUUGUAAUCUUACUCCAACAAGUGCCAUCACAGCUCAAUUGGAUUUCAAAAAUAUGAAGUGUCCGCUCUAGUCAAAAAUGAAUCAAGAGGAUAGAUUGUUUGCUUAAACUGUGUGAAUUAUUAUUAUCUCCACCCUAAUAGGUUCUCUUUUCUAAUGUUUGUUGACUAGUGUAUUCGUCUGUGAUGAUUAAGUAGUUAUGAGAACCCACGUAGGCAUGUGUUAAGUCUCACAUCAACUAUGUACAGGGUAGAUCUUGGAUACUUAUACAGGGCCAAAUAACCCAAAUAAUACCUUCCAGCUAAUCUUUUUGGAUGAGAUCCUGGAUUGUGAUAAAUGGUAUUAGAGUGGAUCCAACCCAUAGCCCAUGUGUACUGGGGGCACUGCAGCAUAGGCCCCUUGGGUUGACCACGGACUGAUCAUGAUGGUUGUGAUUGGAAUUAUGGUACUUAUGUUUGGAUUUGAAUGAAUUUAGACCCUUAACCUAAAGAGAAUGUCAGGACUUAAACAGGAGGAGCACAUGAGGCCUUGUGUGGGCCCGUGUUUAGUCUCAUAUUGGCUAUACACUAGGUAGAUCUUAGGUAUCUAUAUAGAGCCAAGUAACCCAAAAAACAACUUCCAGCUAGCCAUUUUGGAUGAGAUCUUGGGUUGUAACAAUAGUAGUUUAGUCGUUACCUAGUUGUAGUACCAGAAAGGACAUGUUUGUGUCCUAUAAUCUUUUCUUCUUUGUAAACCAAAACAGCAUGAGAUAAACCAUAUGAAAAACUAGCUGCAUUUUUAGUCUGAUCCUUCUAUUUUAAGGUUCAAGCAGAAUAGAAAAAUCAUCAGGUCUUAUAAUAUUCCACAGCUAAUUAAGUCACAUUCAGACCAUAGACGUAUUUAGUUCUGUUAAGCAGAUAUACCUUGUUGACCCUUUUCCAAUCAUCCUAAGCUUUUUCGUUUAAUUGGUUAGUUAACACAGUAUCAGAGCUCAGACUUGCUAUACAUCAGGAGUUUGAAUUCCCUCCACAGUUCAAUUAUUGAUCAAAUUAUCUUCGGUUAUCUGUUAUCCUGAUUUAGUUAUGUCUUGGCUGUGUUAUCCUUACACGUGCAUGAUCCCAGUCGCACAGGAGGAAGCUGCAUAUACAUUGUUGACCCUUUCACUAU